rnacentral:snoRNA from 7 species
ACAGUCUGAAAAUCACCUGCGGUCUCCCGUGGCCCCCGGUGAGAUAACCGUGCCGACAGCAUAGGGAACAUCAAAGCUUAUUGCCCACGGUGACAGUGUGUGGGGAGUGAAACCCGUGUUCCCAUAACC